rnacentral:lncRNA from 1 species
UGGAAUCUGGGAGGAAGCGUGAGUCAUUAGCCUGCUAAGGGAGUCCUGUGUGGCCACCUUCGCCUGGCCCAGGAGGCCUGGAUUGCAGCGCCAGCCAUCAAGGCCUCACCAGGCCAGGCUAGGCCAGGCCCCAAUCGACACGCCUGCUGUCCAGGCUGACACAGGCUCCAGGAAUGCAAACAGAGCUGGGUGGAGGGACCUCCUGAGGGCCAGGGUGCUGGGCCAGGCAGGAGGCGGCAGGCCUGUGGGAGAGGCCUGCACAGGGGCCUUGGGCCUUGGACAAUGUCAUGUUGUUGCCACCCCGGCUGCCUGAUAAGGCUCCUGCCUCCUGAUGUGAGGAGAGCCGGAGCUGCCAGCUCUGGUCUUCAGGAUUUUCUGGGAAGGAAGUUCCCCGGAUCAGAGAUUCUCAAAGCUGAUCCCUGAGCCAGCAUCAUCCGUGACACCUGAGAAAGGAUCAGAAGCCCUGAUGUCCUGGGAAAAGCAGAGGCUGGCCAUACAUGCCUCAGUGGUAGCACACGUGCCUGGAUAUUGGCUCUAACGGAGUUGGAGCCUAGUACCUUAGCAAGUAGUUAUAUGCAAUGCUCACUUUGGGGGACAACAAUGCUUAAUAAGUCACCUUCUGUCUUGUUAGGGUUUUAGCGUUGUGAAGAGACACAUGGUGCUGGAGAUGGAGCUGAGAGUUCUGCAUCUUGACCUACAGGCAGCCAUGAGGAGACUGGCUCAGCACUGGGCAUAUCUGGAGCGUAUAUAUGAGACCUCAAGCCCACCCACGGUGACACUUCCUCCAACAAGGCCAUACUUUCUAAUAGUGCCAUUCCUUAUGAAAGAUGUUUAUACCCAGUGACAGCCACUACCCAGCCACCAGCGCAGGGCCUGAAAGCUGAGCCUACACUGGGAACUAUUUACUGUCAGCUGCUCUCUGUCAGCAGGCUCCGGAGCCACAGGGACUCUAAGGAAGCAAAGAGGGUUCAAGAAGGGUGGAGGCAGCAAUGAGGAAAGCCUGCGUUUUUUCCAAGGUGUUGGAGAACGAGCUGGCCCCUGGCUGAUCUUAAACAGCGCGGCUGAGGGCCAUAGCGAGGGUACUGUGUAAGCCAUGAAGCUUUGGGUCAUCGGCACCGCCAGUUCCCUGUGCUUCUAGCUCUGCAUGAAACCAAGGGCCAUAAAGGUAAGGUAUCAAGGGGACUGAUGAGGGAACAGGGAACAGCCUGAAAGUCUAAGAAUUCUACUCAGCCCAUCAGUGGGCCACGCUGGUGCCACAGGGACAUCUGACGUACUGGCUAGCUGUUCACCCACACUGGGAGGUGCCCACAGUACUGUCCUUGCUGUCCUAAACCUCUCACUUCCUAACCUUCUGGCCUGCCCGCUAGCUCACGUUCACAUUCAGAACAUUUCAGGGGCUGCUGAGGAGAGCCACGGUGAACAGGAGCCAGGUUGAGGGUAACGUGAGGUGGCUAGCAGGAUGAAACUGGAGUCCCAACUGCAGGAGGCCACCCAGAGAGAGCCUCUAAAGAGGGAACUGCAGACACCCUCCCAAUGGCAGAAGCUGCCCCUGGGAGGUGAUCGAGGCGGCAGGAGUCCCUAAGGAGAAGGAGGAACUGCAGCUGAGGGGGCCAUGCAGGACACAGGGAGGACUGGCAAGAGAUCAAGACUGAGCUGGCCAAGACUGUACAUGGAAGAAUCCAACGCCAGCCAGAAGCUCACAGAGGAAGCGCUGUAGGUGAUUGGGCAAAUAGCUUAUCUGUGACUGGAUUCAUUCCAGAGGCAAACUGGGCUUAGCUGAAGGUUCACCUGUAGGGGACAGUGGUGGCAGUAUCACAGAGAGCAUCAAGGCCAUGAAACAAACCAAGCACAUUCCAGAAAAGCGGGCUGAUCAUUUUGACCUUCACACCUGCAGAGACUGUACGAUUAACACGAAGGACUCCCUCAGGGUCUCAUAGACCUAGGCUGGUCCAGGUGGGGACUGUGGCGAUGCCAGGAAAGGAAGAAAAGGUGUGAGAUGGGGAGAAGAUAAGAAGAGGGCUGCAGGAGUGAAGGCUGGGGCUAGCCCCAGCUCCCAAGUAUGCUGGCGACUCCAUGUGUCUGCUUCCUUCUGCUGCUCAGCUGCUGUAGCAAUGACAAUGACAGUUAUGGCUUCGAGAUAUUCUUAGCGGCCGGUCUCAAACUCCCUAUGUAGCUGAGAAUGACCUUGAACUUUAAUACCCUCUUCCCUCCACCUCCUGAGUGCUGGAAUUAGAGGUGUGCGACACCACACUCCAUUCAUGUGGAUCAAUCCAGGGUUUUAUGCCCUGAGCUGCGUCUCUAAGCUGCGAUGUCAUUUCUUUUGGGUUUGUCCUGAAAGUUCAACACACCCCAAUUAAACCCAGAGAAUUACUUUGUGGAUAUGGAAAGAAAGGCCAAUAAAAUCCUAAAAGCAAGGAACAAAGAAGGUUGAUAUUAUCAGCCUUGGAGCACACUGUG